rnacentral:tRNA from 1 species
GUGGGCGUGCCGGAGUGGUAAUCGGGCAUGACUAGAAAUCAUGUGGGCUUUGCCCGUGUAGGUUCGAAUACUGCUGCUCACG